rnacentral:rRNA from 1 species
CAGUAGCCGCGGUAAUACGAGGGGGGCAAGCGUUGUUCGGAAUUAUUGGGCGUAAAGGGUGCGUAGGCGGUCUGAUAAGUCUUAUGUGAAAUCUCUGGGCUCAACCCAGAGUCUGCAUGGGAAACUGUCAGGCUUGAGAAUGGGAGAGGUGAGUGGAAUUUCCGGUGUAGCGGUGAAAUGCGUAGAUAUCGGAAGGAACACCUGUGGCGAAAGCGGCUCACUGGACCAUUUCUGACGCUGAUGCACGAAAGCUAGGGGAGCAAACAGGAUUAGAGACCCCCGUAGUCCCUGUCUCUUAUAC